ACUCCUACGGGAGGCAGCAGUGAGGAAUAUUGGACAAUGGGCGAGAGCCUGAUCCAGCCAUGCCGCGUGCAGGAAGACUGCCCUAUGGGUUGUAAACUGCUUUUAUACAGGAAGAAACACUCCCUCGUGAGGGAGCUUGACGGUACUGUAAGAAUAAGGAUCGGCUAACUCCGUGCCAGCAGCCGCGGUAAUACGGAGGAUCCAAGCGUUAUCCGGAAUCAUUGGGUUUAAAGGGUCCGUAGGUGGAUAAUUAAGUCAGAGGUGAAAGUCUGCAGCUCAACUGUAGAAUUGCCUUUGAUACUGGUUAUCUUGAAUUAUUAUGAAGUAGUUAGAAUAUGUAGUGUAGCGGUGAAAUGCAUAGAUAUUACAUAGAAUACCAAUUGCGAAGGCAGAUUACUAAUAAUAUAUUGACACUGAUGGACGAAAGCGUGGGGAGCGAACAGGAUUAGAUACCCUGGUAGUCCACGCCGUAAACGAUGGAUACUAGCUGUUCGGAUUUAUCUGAGUGGCUAAGCGAAAGUGAUAAGUAUCCCACCUGGGGAGUACGUUCGCAAGAAUGAAACUCAAAGGAAUUGACGG
rnacentral:rRNA from 1 species